GAUCGCAGGCUGCAACCCGCCUGCGUGAAGUUGGAAUCGCUAGUAAUCGCGGAUCAGCAUGCCGCGGUGAAUACGUUCCCGGGCCUUGUACACACCGCCCGUCACACCAUGAGAGUCGGGAACACCCGAAGUCCGUAGCCUAACCGCAAGGGGGCGCGGCCGAAGGUGGGUUCGAUAAUUGGGGUGAAGUCGUAACAAGGUAGC
rnacentral:rRNA from 1 species